UACGUAGGGGGCGAGCGUUGUCCGGAGUUACUGGGCGUAAAGGGCGCGUAGGCGGCAAUUCAAGUCAGUUGUGAAAUCUCCGAGCUUAACUCGGAACGGUCAACUGAUACUGUUUUGCUAGAGUACAGAAGGGGCAAUCGGAAUUCUUGGUGUAGCGGUGAAAUGCGUAGAUAUCAAGAGGAACACCUGAGGUGAAGGCGGGUUGCUGGGCUGAUGACUGACGCUGAGGCGCGAAAGCUAGGGUAGCAAACGGG
rnacentral:rRNA from 1 species